UCCACAUCCAGGUCGCUCAUUGGUUCUGUUCCCACUUUUCAGAUUUUGAAUUUCCCGCGCUCUCGUUCAAACUUCUGUCAGGUUCCUCAGCUUCGAACCCUAACUGACAGCUGGUAAAGAAAUUUCCCGCGCGAAAUUUAAAUUUCUGUCACAUGACAGAUAUUUUUUCGCUAUUCGGAAGACAUUAACUUAUCAUUAUCACUUGUAAAUAGUACAAUAACAAUACACACUAAUGAAUUAUAAUCUUAUCUUUGAAAUACAAAUAGAUUCCUUGAUAUCCCCAUCACUUAUUAUUAACUUGGUUACUUAUUAUUCAAAAACUAUACUUAGAAUGUCACAAUCCCUGGGUUGGUUGCUUAAUCUUUUCAUUUAUACUAAAUACCACAAAUAUGUGAUAAUUUCAUAUAAUUAAUUUUUUUUUUGUUUUAUAAACUACUCGCUGUCAUAUUUAUCCAGUCACUCGUAUAUACAACACUAAAUAUUUAUAUAAUAAAUAUAUUUAUGAUAAUAAUUGAACAUUAGUUUAAUAAACGUUCAAAGUAAUUAACGUUUAAUUAAUAAUCUAAUUAAGUGAAUGGGUCAAAGGUAACCGAUUAUAAUUUAUCAGUUUUUUUUUUCAUUGGAAUUCGAUAGCGCGAAUGUUAUUAAAUAUUUAAAAUAAACAAAUAUAUAUAGAUAUUGUUACUGUGCAGUGAAUCUCAUUAAUGUAAUUAAAAAUACAUUUGAUUAAAAAAAAAAAUGCAUAAAUGAUAAUAAAACAAUAUAGAUAAAUAAUAAUGCAGUCGGUCAGUGAUGAAUUUUCAUUUGUAACUUUCUCCGAGAGAAUAAUGGAGUCCGAGUACUUGGAGUCGUCUUGGAAAAAUAGACUGCAAUUUUUAAAAAGACGAAUUGUUUACUUGAUAAGAGAAGUUACCAGUAAAUAUAGAAAGAAAAAAGGAUACUCGAAGUUUCUAACUGAUGAGGAAAAAAGAUGGCUGGCUAAUGCCGAGUAUGAUUUAUCAACUAGAGUCAGUAUUCCGUACAGCUGUUGACGUUACUUAAUAAAUGGGGGAAUAAAUCAUUGAUAAAAAUAAAACUAGUACAUGUACAUAUACAAUAUAUAUAUAUUUUUUUAAUCAGGUGUAAUUUUUAUUUCUGUUCUUAAUUUAGCAUUCAGUACAUCGAUGUUUGUUUUAAAACUUUAAAUUAUUUGAUUUAUAUUUUAAAUUAUCGUUAGCAGAAGGUACUCAUGUGUGUUCGUGUUGUUAUUUUAUCCAGUCAAGUGAAGAAAAAUUAUAAUAUUUCACUUCUAUUUUACUUAUUUUUGAUUAUCAAGAUAACAGAGUAACACCGCUAGUUAUUAAUUACUAAUGCAAGCGACUAGUUAACAUCAACAUCAAUGGCGAUUUGAACAACUGCUUGUUUAUUUAUUUAUUUAUUUAACUGCUGCAACUAAAUAGAUUUUUUAAGUUUUAAUUAUAAACGGCAUAAAGUGCAGUAUAAAAUAAAAAAUAAUUAUUUUUAUUUUACUUAUCAGUUUUUAAGCUUAACGUCGGUUACUUAUUAAUUAAAAUAUUUAGCUGCACA